rnacentral:rRNA from 1 species
GCUCUGGCUCCUUCGACCUCUACGAAGUGACCGGUAGGCCACCAACCUAGUGCCCGGUUGCGAGACCAGCGCUACACCAACUCGACGCGUCCUCCCCCUCCUCCGACCCCUGUCCCUUGGCCCGGUCCCUCCUCCGUUCCUUCUUGCGUGUCAGACGUGACCCCAUAUUUUAAUAGAUGAUGAAUGGAAACACAGAGCUGUAUACGAACAGUAAGUAGCACGAUGGUCUCCGGUAGUAAUAGGUCAUAGUAUCGCUACUAUUUUUACUGAUAACCUAUGAGGCGUAUAAGAGUAGACUAAAGAGUAUAUAUCUAUAAUUAAAGGAAAGUACCCUCCGGAAGUAAUGUAAAGUCGCCGUCAACGCCUACACCUGCCGCCAACUCCCUCCCAGAGGCUGAUCUCGUCGUCCUCGUUCCUCGAGCUCCUUCAAGUCCAAAUACCGAAGAGUGCCCUACACUAAGACCAGUACGACGGACAAUACUUCCGGCUCCGCUCGUAGUACUUCUGCUCGUCCGCUCACCGACUAUAUCUCUCGAGGAGGUUGCCCCUUCAUCGUAACGACCUCCUUGAGCUUCUACUCGACCAGUUAAAACCGUACAGGUCAAGUACAUU